GUAAGGUGGAUAGCGAACUUCGGGUUCGUGCUGUAACAAGCAAUCUUCUGAAUAAGGGUAAACCCUUAUCAACCCUGACUGGGAGUAUGAGAAGAGAACCUGAGGAAGGUCCGUACAUACCCAUAGAAAUAUGGGACGCGCAAGCGAGCCAGUGUCUGAAAAGACACCUGUUGUGAAACAGAGCUCUGGAACAGAAACGACACCACUCUUGUGAGCGAUGAAGAAAUGAGCGAAGAAGCAAGAGAGCGGAUGAAACGAUCAUCUUGGCUGAUGCAACCUCUUUGAAGGGCUUAGUCAAAUGUUCGCAUCUUUGUUCGAAAGACAAAGAACAGAAUAUGGCCUAUUUCCACCUUAC
rnacentral:RNase_P_RNA from 1 species